rnacentral:tRNA from 5 species
GCCGGUGUAGCUCAGUGGUAGAGCGCUUCCUUGGUAAGGAAGAGGUCACGAGUUCAAUUCUCGUCAUUGGCU